rnacentral:rRNA from 1 species
GACGAACGCUGGCGGCGUGCCUAAUACAUGCAAGUCGAGCGGACGGAUGGGAGCUUGCUCCCAGACCGUCAGCGGCGGACGGGUGAGUAACACGUGGGCAACCUGCCUGUAAGACUGGGAUAACUCCGGGAAACCGGGGCUAAUACCGGAUAACUCUUUCCCUCACAUGAGGGAAAGCUGAAAGAUGGCAUCUCGCUAUCACUUACAGAUGGGCCCGCGGCGCUUUAGCUAGUUGGUGAGGUAACGGCUCACCAAGGCGACGAUGCGUAGCCGACCUGAGAGGUGAUCGGCCACACUGGGACUGAGACACGGCCCAGACUCCUACGGGAGGCAGCAGUAGGGAAUCUUCCGCAAUGGACGAAAGUCUGACGGAGCAACGCCGCGUGAGUGAUGAAGGUUUUCGGAUCGUAAAACUCUGUUGUCAGGGAAGAACAAGUACCGGAGUAACUGCCGGUACCUUGACGGUACCUGACCAGAAAGCCACGGCUAACUACGUG